rnacentral:rRNA from 1 species
GCACGAGUUCAUACUCGUGGCGAAAAGCUCAGUAACACGUGGCCAAACUACCCUACAGAGAACGAUAACCUCGGGAAACUGAGGCUAAUAGUUCAUACGGGAGUCAUGCUGGAAUGCCGACUCCCCGAAACGCUCAGGCGCUGUAGGAUGUGGCUGCGGCCGAUUAGGUAGACGGUGGGGUAACGGCCCACCGUGCCGAUAAUCGGUACGGGUUGUGAGAGCAAGAGCCCGGAGACGGAAUCUGAGACAAGAUUCCGGGCCCUACGGGGCGCAGCAGGCGCGAAACCUUUACACUGCACGCAAGUGCGAUAAGGGGACCCCAAGUGCGAGGGCAUAUAGUCCUCGCUUUUCACGACUGUAAGGCGGUCGUGGAAUAAGAGCUGGGCAAGACCGGUGCCAGCCGCCGCGGUAAUACCGGCAGCUCAAGUGAUGACCGAUAUUAUUGGGCCUAAAGCGUCCGUAGCCGGCCACGAAGGUUCAUCGGGAAAUCCGCCAGCUCAACUGGCGGGCGUCCGGUGAAAACCACGUGGCUUGGGACCGGAAGGCUCGAGGGGUACGUCCGGGGUAGGAGUGAAAUCCCGUAAUCCUGGACGGACCACCGAUGGCGAAAGCACCUCGAGAAGACGGAUCCGACGGUGAGGGACGAAAGCUAGGGUCUCGAACCGGAUUAGAUACCCGGGUAGUCCUAGCUGUAAACGAUGCUCGCUAGGUGUGACACAGGCUACGAGCCUGUGCUGUGCCGUAGGGAAGCCGAGAAGCGAGCCGCCUGGGAAGUACGUCCGCAAGGAUGAAACUUAAAGGAAUUGGCGGGGGAGCACUACAACCGGAGGAGCCUGCGGUUUAAUUGGACUCAACGCCGGACAUCUCACCAGCUCCGACUACAGUGAUGACGAUCAGGUUGAUGACCUUAUCACGACGCUGUAGAGAGGAGGUGCAUGGCCGCCGUCAGCUCGUACCGUGAGGCGUCCUGUUAAGUCAGGCAACGAGCGAGACCCGCACUUCUAAUUGCCAGCAGCAGUUUCGACUGGCUGGGUACAUUAGAAGGACUGCCGCUGCUAAAGCGGAAGAAAGAACGGGC